GCCUAUGGCCAUGUCACCCUGAACAAACCCAAUCCCAUCUAACCAGGCCCAACUAAGCAGAGUUGGGCCUGGUUAGUACUUGGAUGGGAGACCAAGUGCUAUAAGAG
rnacentral:rRNA from 1 species